GACGAACGCUGGCGGCGUGCUUAACACAUGCAAGUCGAACGGAAAGGCCCUGCUUUUGUGGGGUGCUCGAGUGGCGAACGGGUGAGUAACACGUGAGUAACCUGCCCUUGACUUUGGGAUAACUUCAGGAAACUGGGGCUAAUACCGGAUAGGAGCUCCUGCUGCAUGGUGGGGGUUGGAAAGUUUCGGCGGUUGGGGAUGGACUCGCGGCUUAUCAGCUUGUUGGUGGGGUAGUGGCUUACCAAGGCUUUGACGGGUAGCCGGCCUGAGAGGGUGACCGGCCACAUUGGGACUGAGAUACGGCCCAGACUCCUACGGGAGGCAGCAGUGGGGAAUAUUGCACAAUGGGCGGAAGCCUGAUGCAGCAACGCCGCGUGCGGGAUGACGGCCUUCGGGUUGUAAACCGCUUUCGCCUGUGACGAAGCGUGAGUGACGGUAAUGGGUAAAGAAGCACCGGCUAACUACGUGCCAGCAGCCGCGGUGAUACGUAGGGUGCGAGCGUUGUCCGGAUUUAUUGGGCGUAAAGGGCUCGUAGGUGGUUGAUCGCGUCGGAAGUGUAAUCUUGGGGCUUAACCCUGAGCGUGCUUUCGAUACGGGUUGACUUGAGGAAGGUAGGGGAGAAUGGAAUUCCUGGUGGAGCGGUGGAAUGCGCAGAUAUCAGGAGGAACACCAGUGGCGAAGGCGGUUCUCUGGGCCUUUCCUGACGCUGAGGAGCGAAAGCGUGGGGAGCGAACAGGCUUAGAUACCCUGGUAGUCCACGCUGUAAACGGUGGGUACUAGGUGUGGGGUCCAUUCCACGGGUUCCGUGCCGUAGCUAACGCUUUAAGUACCCCGCCUGGGGAGUACGGCCGCAAGGCUAAAACUCAAAGGAAUUGACGGGGCCCCGCACAAGCGGCGGAGCAUGCGGAUUAAUUCGAUGCAACGCGUAGAACCUUACCUGGGUUUGACAUGGAUCGGGAGUGCUCAGAGAUGGGUGUGCCUCUUUUGGGGUCGGUUCACAGGUGGUGCAUGGCUGUCGUCAGCUCGUGUCGUGAGAUGCUGGGUUAAGUCCCGCAACGAGCGCAACCCUUGUUCACUGUUGCCAGCACGUUAUGGCGGGGACUCAGUGGAGACCGCCGGGGUCAACUCGGAGGAAGGUGGGGAUGACGUCAAGCCAUCAUGCCCCUUAUGUCCAGGGCUUCACGCAUGCUACAAUGGCUGGUACAGAGAGUGGCGAGCCUGUGAGGGUGAGCGAAUCUCGGAAAGCCGGUCUCAGUUCGGAUUGGGGUCUGCAACUCGACCUCAUGAAGUCGGAGUCGCUAGUAAUCGCAGAUCAGCAACGCUGCGGUGAAUUCGUUCCCGGGGCU
rnacentral:rRNA from 1 species